rnacentral:rRNA from 1 species
UACGUAGGGUGCAAGCGUUGUCCGGAAUUAUUGGGCGUAAAGAGCUCGUAGGCGGUUUGUCGCGUCUGCUGUGAAAACUCGGGGCUUAACUCCGGGCCUGCAGUGGGUACGGGCAGACUAGAGUGCGGUAGGGGAGACUGGAAUUCCCGGUGUAGUGGUGGAAUGCGUAGAUAUCGGGAGGAACACCGGUGGCGAAGGCGGCGAUCUGGGUAGAUACUGACGCUGAGGUGCGAAAGCGUGGGGAGCAAACAGG